AAAGUUUUGCAGCUCUCUGCAGCGCGAGCGGUUUACAGAGCUGUUUGUUUUUUUCUUAGCUGGUUGUUGUAAUCUUAUUUUCGGCAGAGCCGGCGGUUUUCUGUCGCCGUGCGCUGCUAUCGUGUGACUCGCCUACUGAGUUCCGAUCUGAGUGUAAAGCCAAGCAUCUCACCGUGUGCCCGCCACAUUGUAUCUUCUCCUCCUCAGGUAGAGAUCCCGCGCUUCACCGGAACAAAAAAAAAAAAAUCGAUCGGACGCAAGUCAUAUGACCUCGCACUGCGCUCUUUUUACAAGACCAGGAGACUGUUUUUUAUUUUUUUUGACAUGGUUGAACUAUGAGGACUGAUGACACCAUGGGGCUGAGAGCGUCCUGUUUAAAAGGUCUUCAGAUCGGUCACAAAGGUGAAGAGACGUCCUCUGGACACCUGAAGGUCCCGGAUAUAAUCAUCACCCCUCCCACCCCGACCGGCACCAUGAACUCCAGGACCUCCACGCAGCGGGCGCGGCCCGCUUCCCCCGCCAUGAACUGCUGCUGAUCUCACAACUACAAUCAUGAUGUGUGACAACCAUGGGAAAGGCGACAGUUCAGAUCUGAUAUCACAGGCUGAUUGGUUGCUAAGGGCAACAAGAAAUCAAACUUUUUAAAAAAAAAAAUCCUACAUGACUGACAAGGAAGGAAGAACACUAAGAAGUCAGAACUGUCUUCAGAGGUCAGCACACCGCAAGGGAAGACGGAUGUCAUACAAACUCGGGGCGCUUCCCCUUUAAGUGACAGUCUUAGAUGUCACUUUAUCACAGAGUGGAAGGAUUCCGGGAUCUGAAAUGUGACAAGAUUCCCAAAUGUCACUUCCCUAUGAUAAAAAUAUCUGAACUGGGGGGGAGGGGGAUGGAAUGCAACAAAAUAAAACGUGAGACAUCAAAUAUA